GGAUGUUCGAUCGUUUCCACUUUACGGUAAUUGAUUCACUAUAUCGUGAAAAUUAAAAACCUUUAUAUAUUUUCACGGUUUCAAAAUAUUAGGUUGGAAUAAACGAGUGUAAAUUCUAGUUUUACUGUUUUGAUUAUGCGCCUUUAAAUUUUCGGCAUUUACAUAUUUUCGAGAUUUACUGCAUUGAAACCAAGCGUUCGAUUGCUUGACGUCACUUCGUGAUCGACAUCGAUGAAACGCUUGCUUACGCUGUGGAUGUUAUUUUCUGUGCAAAUACAAGCGUCUAUUGAUAACGAAACGAUAAUUUGUCAACAAUGAGAAUCAGAUACUUGGCUUAAUAAUUUUCAUUUAAAAUGUCUAAUUUGGAUAUAAUUCGGAAUACAAAACGAAACUUAAAAGGUAUUGAAAACAACAACGUUCAAAAGAACAAUGUGGAUUUCAAUAGAAAGACUAUUUCCACCGACAAUCAGGAUUUCCGGUAUGACCACUGUUAUUUUGACGAUUUUUCUAUCGGUUCGUCGGUAAGCGUGACCACAUGUGACAACAGCGAUGCUAGUUGGAUAUAAAAUUGGAAGACGUGUCGUUGAACUCGACACAUUGAACGAAUCGCUUUUAGCAUGCAGUGCUUGUCAAGUGCCCAUGAAUUUACUUAACACUGUAGAAAGCAGGGAUUUCGGACAGGCAUGUGUUUUGGACAUACAGUUUAGCAAUUGUGGUGCAGUAAAUAAUGUGGCUUCUGGACGGAAACAUGGCAGAGUUUAUGACAUGAUCACAAAGCUUGCAUUUGGGUAAAUCAAAAACUGGGUGUUUCACCUGGGACUUUCACAUCGAAACUGGCCCUUCUCCAUGACCUUCAGCACAAAAAAAGAAAGGCUAUAGCUGUUACUCGUGCAGCAAAACAGUGACGCAUAAGACUAAAAACUCGAACGGCAUUCAAAGGAAAGUGCAAGAAGUACGAGUGGGACCAACAUACAGUUCAAACAUAGAGGACCAAGACGUUGAAGUUACAACUAUACCCCCACCUAUACCCAAGCCUGGUCAAGCAGGGCUAGACACUACUGGGAAGGAAUUUGUUUUAUUUGAUUUGGAAACAAGAGGGUUAGGUAAAGUUUAUUUUUAACAUAUUCCUUAUUCACAGUGUUGCACAUACAGAAGUUUAUCUUGGUCCAAUUCAGGUAUUUAGGUACUCUAAAUCUCCAAAGUUGAACUUCUAUUAAAAAAUAUACAUAUUUACUUACAUGUAUAACAUAAUUCAACCUGCUACUGCUGAGUAACUCAAUGUGUCAGAGAUA